GGACGAACGCUGGCGGCGUGCCUAAKACAUGCAAGUCGAGCGSACUUAAAAAGCUUGCUUUUUAAGUUAGCGGCGGACGGGUGAGUAACACGUGGGCAACCUGCCUGUAAGACUGGGAUAACUUCGGGAAACCGGAGCUAAUACCGGAUAAUCCUUUUCUACUCAUGUAGAAAAGCUGAAAGACGGUUUACGCUGUCACUUACAGAUGGGCCCGCGGCGCAUUAGCUAGUUGGUGAGGUAACGGCUCACCAAGGCGACGAUGCGUAGCCGACCUGAGAGGGUGAUCGGCCACACUGGGACUGAGACACGGCCCAGACUCCUACGGGAGGCAGCAGUAGGGAAUCUUCCGCAAUGGACGAAAGUCUGACGGAGCAACGCCGCGUGAGUGAUGAAGGUUUUCGGAUCGUAAAACUCUGUUGUUAGGGAAGAACAAGUACGAGAGUAACUGCUCGUACCUUGACGGUACCUAAC
rnacentral:rRNA from 2 species